UUGUUUAUAUAUUUCUUCUUUUUUUCUUUUUCUUUUUUGUUUUGUUUGUUUCCCCCUCCUUCAGAUCGUAUUGUCUCACUUGCCUAUAGCUAAAAAGGCUCCUGCCUAGAGAUUCUUCGGGGAGAAAGUCCGGCUCUUGGGGAGGCCGGGAGCGACUCGGCAUCCCCCAUGUCUCCUCGGACUAGCAAGAGCCGCAUGUCCAUGAAGCUGCGGCGCUCUUCUGGAUCGGCCAAUAAGACUUAAGCUCUCUAGAUUUUCGCGGCCGAUCAAGCAAUCAGACACUUUUGGUCUACAUUUUGUGCUCAAAAGUAGGCGAAAACAGACUGUGGUGGAGAAAUCCACAUGGAUGUUUAUUUCCAACAGGAAAAAGACCGAUGGGUGUUGUUCUCAGGAAAGAGCGUCGCCAUCUGGGGUGUCAGUAGAAUUUGACGCUUCGUCACACAGUUGUACUCUCAAAAAACACAUGUAAAAGUAUUCUGUGGAGUAUUUAACACUAACUUUAUUUAGAAAUUGCUCACAGCUGCUGAAUAUAUCCUUGGCUUUGCUCUUAAAAAUACAAAAAAAACUGCUGAUCUUCAUCGUAGACGCAGCCGAACGAGUGCAGCACUAGUCCAUCAUGAUCCGUGCCAUGUUAGAAAUCGCAAAAAAAGCUCAAGUGUGCCACGUUAGAUGCUGUUCGUUUUGGAGAAGCGCGUCCAUCGAGGUCAAAACCGCAGAACAAAGAGAGGUUGAACGCCGCUAUGUGGAAUCUGUAUAUUUGUACGAUAGUCAGUCCGUGUGUGUGUGUGUGUGUGUACAGACAGAACUAUGAGUUUUGAUAUAAAAAAAUAAUGCAUUUCUGAACGAUUGCACCUUCAGUGUUGCAUGGAGAAAGCGAGAUAAAAGUAUAUUUUUGUUCUCAGUACAGCAUUAGGCCUACAAAGAUAAGGGCAGGGGUCUGUUUGCUAUUCAGUCCUCAUAGAAUGUAAAUAGAAACUCUUUCGUUUGCUAGCUAUAAAAUGCGGCAUCACUCUAAAGCCCAAAAUGUUCUCCAGAAGAACAAUCCCCCUCCUUCAACUCCCUUUGAGCAAAGAGAUGUGAGAACCAGUGUCGAAGGAAUGAUGGAGGGAUUGUUUGUCUUUCACAAUGCAGAGAAAAGCGCUUUGUUGAAAAAUGAUUGAUCAAAGAGGAAGCACUUGUUACAUAAAGUUAAGUGUCGACUUUCUUGUGCUCAUGCUGUAAAAUAUGGACAGAGCACUGAUGUUCAUUGCAUUUAUGUUCCUUGUGUUUUUUCUUUUUUUUGUUCCUUUUAUAUAUAUUCUGCAUAUCUAUAUAUGUAUGAGUAUGAAUAUAUAGGUAUAUAUAUAUAGUAGAUAUAUAAAUAUCUAUAAGGUUGUGUACAUACUGUUAUGUGUGAGAAUAGCUGCCAAAGUCCAACUGGUUUAUCCUCAGAACACAUUAUCUGCUUAAAACAAACACUACAAGAUGUAAUGCUUUCAGUUUACUCUUCAUCCUCUCUGAAUUUAAAGGUAAUUCUAAUUGUAUCUCAAGUACUCUUCUUCACUGCUGAUAUGCGUAACCUUGGUACCACUGUGUUUUAGGCCAUCAUAUUCCUGGUUUUUCAUUGUUUGACAUAUUGCUAAGUGAGGCCAGAGGGAGGAAGGAAGGAGGAAAAACAAAGUGUUUAAAGGAGAGAUACUGUAGAACCAUGGCCAACGAGGGGGGAGGGGGGAGGGGGGGCAGGCAGGCAAAGGAAACACCAUCACUUAGAAAUAAACGGUUUUAAUCCCGCUCUUAAAUUUCGACUCUUCCCCGGUUCCAGCUGUGGAUGGAGGGGAUCCGCAUGUCAUCACAAUCCAGAAACCGUGACGCUACGCUCAUGUGUUAACGUUUCAGAUCGGCUUCCAUCGUUCUUUUCCGGGUUUCUCUUCAUUAAUGGUCUCAGCUGUGGUUCCUUCAGGGUUUAUCACCAUUGAACCUUCAUCCGUUUAUUUGACAUGAGUUCCUUUUCCUCCUGUCUGAUCUAAAGGAAACACGCAUGUACUGUAUGAAAUGUUUGCAUUUGAAAAUAUAGAUCUGAGUUAAAGGUUUUGCAUUAUGCUUCACUGCUUAAUGUGUGUGUAUUCACAACUGUAUUUUCUGUUACUCUUUCAUUGUCUUUACUUCAGCCAUAGAUUCUCCAGAGAGGAAAGGGAUUGUCACACUUGUUUUAACCCCUCUGUGGGGUUGAAAUUGUUAAAUAUUUGCCAGUUUAAAAAUGAGGUCAAAUUGUGUUAUUUUGUCUGUGGAUAUUUAAAGUCAGCUGAGAUUUGAGUGUUCCCGUUAAAUUAUUGCUGUUACGGUUAUUAUUAUUAUUAUUAUUAUUGCCGAGGUUGAAGAAGCACCAUUGAUUGGUUGCGACACGUGGUCAACUAGCCCCACUGUACUCUGGGAAGGAUCUGUACAUGCUGUAUGCAGACCCGCGUCUCAAUAUCUUUUGGGUCUCAACAUUACUUUGGCUUUGGAUUAAAAUACUAGUGACUCUACUUGAGUCAUGAUGCUGCUUUCAUAGUACCCUGAAGAAAGAUUCAGAUAAAAAGGAUUUCAACUCCGUUGUUUCACUUAAAUAAAAAACCCUGAUUAGCAAAACCAAAAUGUAUAGAAAACCUAGGUUACCCAAAGCCUUUCAGCAUUCUAACGAAUCCACACCAGCCUGAGGACUGUCUGUCUAGGAAGAUUGUUCGGGUAGAAAAGUAUUAGUCCGCCUUAUUGACCCAAAUCUGACAUUUUGGUUGUCUGUAGUCUGUUGCCAUGUCGACCACACACAAACAUGUAUGUAACUUCUGCGCCUGCGUGGAUGGAUGCUCUGAGCGAGAGGGCCGUGAUGGGUACGGGGUUCAGCUGUUGUCAGUUGGGAGACUGAUGUAUGUAACUACUGACUGUACAUACUGCAUGACGCCGGUUCAGUACUAACCGCAUGUGUUGAUCAUGUAACAGCUGUAUCUUAACACACACACUUCCUGGAUGUUACUGUCACACCUGUAGUAUGUAGACCUGUAAUGGCUCUUUUGGACACCGAAGAGAGCGCAGAUGUGCGAUGGUGGAGUUUGACAAUAAACGAUUCGUACCACUUGACAGCCGGACCCGUGUGUGUGUGUGUGUGUGUGUGUGUGUGUGUGUGUGUGUGUGUGUGCGCACACCAACUUUGAAACCACAUGAAUGAGUACUGUCUUAACAUUUAUUGACAAUAAUUUAGAAUAAAUAUCACAUUCAACUUCAGAGAUAUCAAAAUAGUACUGGUUUCAUAGAACCACAAUGAUAUUUUAGCAUCAUGAAGGCAUUUAGCAAAUAUUUCAACAGUAAUGAAUAAUCAAUAAAGACAAAAGACUUUUUUUUAAUUAGCACUACACACAUUAAAUGUUCCAUUUCUGUAUGAAAAUAUUUUGUAGCUCUUGAAACUUACUGGCACAUUUACUAUAAAAGGCAUAUUAUGGUCUAUCUGAUUAUUUUCUUUUUAUGUUUUAUUUGUUUUUGUUUUAUUGUUCACUGUACAUGAAAUAGAGUUAGGACAUUGGUUCUGUCUCCGGUUGGUGGGGUAAGGAAGGUCACUUUCUAAAUGUAAUUACAGGUCACUACAUUUUACAUCAGUACGUAAUGUAACACGCCCGCUCCACCUGAGCUUCGGUGUAAUGUGAUUACUUUGCCACAGAACCAUGUCGACCGUGAGUUUAAACAUGUAGAGAGGCGUGUGUCGAUCUUGGCUUCAGUACAUUCAGCGUACAAUGGCCCCCUCUUGCUCUAAUUAGUCAUAAUUAAAUUACCCUUUCUGUCAAACUUCAGUCUGGCCUGUUCUCUCAAGUGUUCACUAAUUGUAACAGUUUAGUUGCUGUGAUUAAAUGUCAAAUAAGUUUACAGACAGUUGGGCAUAAUAUGACAGGAUGCAAGAGAAGCCGAAAAAGAAAUGGCCUCCUGUGGCAAAACAGGAUAUAUAUAUAUAUAUAUUCUCUAAAUGAGAAAAGAAAUAUAGAAACAAUGUCUGACUUCUGAUUGUAUUACUGGCCGUACAAAUUCAAUAUUGACAAAUAAUGCGAUUUGCUCUCAAGAUUUCAACAGAAGAAAUAGCCAUUUAGAACAAGGGUCACUUUAAUUUGCAUCCAGUUUAAUGUUUAAUUGUUAUAAUAAUCCUGUUAUUUUAUUAAAUCAUCUUAGAUCACCUGUCCAGCGAAUUAAAAUGUACUUUUUAUUUUUCUUCCAAAAAAAAAAAAAAAGCUGUAAAGACUGAGCAACCUGUGGAAGAUAACGGAGGUGCGUUUGUGGACAUGGUGUCAGUUUGUUUGUAAUAGUUUCCGUAGGUCAGUUAUUUAGUUUAGUUUCAGCACCAUGGACAGUUCCGCUUCUACUGACACUGUCAGCUAAUUGUCUAGUUUACAUUUGCUUUUGGGUUAUCAGUCUCAAGACCAUAAACAAUGUGUGCAUCGUUUUGGCGUCAGUAGAUCAUAACUAUCUUUGUGAAACAAUUGAGCAGUCAAGAGGCUCACUGAGCUUUAAACAAAACUCACCCGUAGUCCGUAUCCUGAAACAUACAGUGCGUUUUUGCUUUUUGACCACAACUGAACCCAACAGGCCUCCGUCACAAUCUACAAUACAACCAUAGCUGAAUUAAAUGUACUUCAUAGUUAGGUUCCUCAUAAUGAUGGUCAAUAACUGGUUAUUUUUCAUGUGUUUCUCUUGGCCCGUCUCGCGCUCGUUUUACGGUCGCACGGUCAUCUGCAGCAGCAUCACCUGCCGGUUCUCGGUGGGCUGGGAUUUGUUGAUGUGUCUCGCGAGCCCCGGGGAGCUGAAGAAAGUGGACGGACAGUGCUUGCACGUGAAGAUCUGCUGCUGCUCGCACUCCCCGCUGCCGCUCUCGCCUCCCUGCGCGUGGAACACGUCUGGUCUGAGUCCUCCUCCCAAAGUUCCCGCCAGUAACUCGUCCCUCAUCGCGUGCCACAGACGGUGCUUGUCCCUGAUUUCCGCCGACGGGAAGCGCGCGCCGCACAGGUGACACAAGAACACCUGGCUCUGUCCUCCGCCUGUCUCGCGCGCCUGCCCGUAAGAUGGCGGGUUGGGAGACGCUCGCGCUGUCGUCUCGUGCGCAGCCAGGUGUUUCUUUAGGUAAGGCUGUCGGCGGAAUUUCUUCCCACAGUACCGGCACUCGUACACGUCGUCCACCGGUAACGACUGGACAAACGGCAAAGGAGGAUGCGGAAGCGACGGCAGGUCCGCGCGCUCGUCCGGGUUGCCGUUUAACAGAAGCAGGCUCGAGGGUGGACUGUCUGCCGCCCUCACCUGCUCCUGAAGGUCCAGACAGCUUUCGGCCGGAUUCCGGUAAUGAAGCGAGGAAUCAUAGUGAGGGGGCGCGAGGCUGUCUCCGUCGGGGUUGUCCCGUGAGCGACCGUGGAACAGCAACAGGGAGGGCUCGCGCCUGACCCGGGAGCUGUCCAGCGCUCCGUGGUGCUGGUUAGCGUUUAUGCGCAGCAGCUCGUUCUCUUUGCCCUCCAUCUCUACCGGCUGCCUCUCGUGCUGAACGAGACCUCGUGCUUCUUUCAGCGGCUGGCUCUUGUUUGUCUGAGUCUCUCCACCUUGGCCGUUUACCGGACGAGGCUUGUGCCAGCGGCGGUGGGAUGCCAAGUUGGCGGGACAGCUGAAGACUUUGUCGCACUCGGGACAUCGGUACUCCACGCGCACUAUGCGGGAGCACUUGUGCUGCGCGAGGGAGAAAGGGUCGGAGUACUCCUCUUUACAAAGCUGGCAGAUGUACUCUCCGAGCGGCUGGUUCCCGGUGGGAGCGGACGACCUCUCCCGCUGUCUCCUCUGCUCGGGAAGCUCCUUCUUGAUCCGCAAACCCAACACCGGCGAGGUCAUGACCUCGUCUUCGAAGUUCAGCUUUCGGUUCACUUUGGGUUUCUUUGACGGGUUGCCCGCAGGCUGUUUGCUGUGUCUGUUGCCGUUCAAGCGUUGAUCCUGCUCGAGGAACGAGCGCUUCCUCGCCGCGUGAUGCUGCUCUGGGUUCACAAGUGUCAGUGGCGGGAACAAGUGUACAUGACCCAUGCUCGGGUCGUAUUUGUCAUUGUGACCGUAGGACGGUGCGUUGCGGCUGCCGCUCGCGAGGAGCCUCUCAAUGGAAGGGGACACUGAGGUCGGCGUGGAGCUCACCAGGAACGGCAGCUCCGGUAACCCCGGCACCGGGGAGGAUGUCAGGCACUUCCCGGGGAACAGCGGCUGCUUAUAUCCCUCGUGGUGGUGGUGAUGGUGGUGGUGGAGGUCCAGCAGUCUCGUGCCGACCGGUUUAACGGGGCUGCAGGACUCUGUUGAUGUCACGUCGCGUGGGGGUAGAGGAGGAGGUGGGAAGAAGCAGGAGAAGUCACUAUCGGGAGUCAGAACGUCCACCUCGCUCACCUGGCCCUCGGUCUCCGGUAAUUGUGCGCGCCGGUCCGCCUCCGCCUCCAGCGCGGACUCCACGUGCGGGCUCCACGCCUCCCUGACAGCGGCGGAGUCUCCGCGGGACACCGGGAGCAGUCCAUCCGGCCGUCCAAACGGGAACACAAUCAACACGUCGUUCCCCUCCACUGCCUCCGGUAUUGUCGCUUCACACUUACCGCUGCUAUUCUGGUCACCGUAAUAUGCUUCGGGUUUGUUAUUACUGUUAUUCCGUGACCGGUACGACGCCGGACAUCGCCGGUUUCUCUUCACCAAGAAUCCUCGAGGCAUGGUGGUGGUGGUGACGAUGAUGCUCGACACCGCCAGGCGGAAAGAACAACUCUUGUCUCGAGCCCACUUUCAAGUAGAGCUGUGAAGUGGCGAAGUUAGAGAGAGGGAGAGGAGGAGGAGAGAGAGGGGAGGGGGGCGCGCGCGCAGGUGUGUUGAUAGCGAGAGAGAGCAUUAUCCGUGGUGCGCGUGUACGUUUUUAUUCACCAGUCUCUCUCUCUCUGUCUGUCACACACACACACACACACACACACACACACACACACACUUUUCGUCCAGGGCCAGUAUCAGCAGGCUUUAUUAGUUGGCUAAUUAGCGUAAGCCUUUUUUUAUUUAUUAAAUAUCAAUAAAUCAGUAGUAACAUUUUGAGCAUGAAUGUUAGUGUGUAGCUACUUAUCAAGUGUUUUAAUUACAGAAGCCAUUAGAGAUGAAUACCCUAAAAUAAACAGUUGGUGGCUCAUUGGGUACAUCGUAAAAACUAUAGGUUAUAAUUUAUAUUGAAUGUACGUUUUCAUUUUUAUGGGACCAGCAUUGUUUUACUGUACCUAACUCUUCUUCUGUCAUAAUGUGGCUCACUUGAGAUAAAACGCUAUUUUAUAUAUUUAGUUUUUAUAAAUAUUGUUGGAGAACAGCUGUUUUUAACUCUCAUGUUGUCACAAUAAGGAAAUAAGUGGGUUCACAUCUAAUGUCCGAGGUAGUCAGGAAGUUUGCAUUAUGGUUAAAAUUUAUAAUUCAUUAUUAAUAUUACUCGCACUUAUAAUAUCACAAUCACUGAGUCGUUGUAAUCAGUGGAAUUUUGAGUUUUAUCAGUUAUUUUAGUUGCUGGGGUGUGAAAUAACAUAUUGCUGUUGAUGAGCUUCCGCCGCUGAUCUUUUCCUCUCAUUUUCUAGGAGCUGAUGUGCUUUCACCUGUCAGAAAACCUGGUCCGGUGUGUGUGUGUCGGAGUCGGUGUAACUAUAGAAACAGCCCCCGUGGGGAUACAGAUCAUACAUCUUUAAGAGUAAAAUAAUGACUGUUUCUGUCCCGCUAAAGUAUUUGUGUGUGUGUGUGUGUGUGUGUGUGUGUGUGUGUGUGUGUGUGUGUGGACUAUUCACACCCGUCCCACUAGAAGCUGCACUAGCUGAUAAGAGAUCGGAGGGAUAUUCAUCUAUCUAUCCAUCCGUCCUCCCCCCCGGGGCUUGGCCGGCCCCUCCGCGCAGGCCAGGCGGUCUCCAGCUCGGCCAGUGGGAUCAGGCCAGCCGGCGUCGCUCCCUGGAAAUCAAUCAAGGCGGAUGAGCGUGAGAACGAGCUCGAGGGUCGGGCUGCUGGCUUGACGAGGGCCGCCUGGGGAAUAGAAAUGAGAAUAGAGAAGGGGAUUGGUGGUGGAGGCUCCAACACUAAAAACUAAUUAAGCACCAGGCUUAUCUGGACUUUUAUUUGGGUGGUUUUUCACUGUAAUUGUCAGCUGCUAAUGUGUCCCACAGAGAAACCUUGACCCUGGUUCAGCCGGUAUUGACCCGACUGACUGAACGUGAGUGAUUGAGGCCUCUGUCAGAUUAUUUUCACCCCACUUUGUAUCGCAUGGAAGCCCGUUUAUAUCAGGACAAAAUAAAAAUAAAUAACAGCAAACGUUGUAAAUUAUUUACUUUAAAAAUAAAUACUGAUAGUCCAAACAAUAAUUAUUUUCUCUAUUAUCUAAUCAUUUUCACUUGUUCUCUAACCUAAAGUCAAAAUUGUGAUUUAUUUCACAUUACUGUAUUACAUUUGCUCAUAAUUAACUAACUAAAUUAUGACGGCAUCACACCAUAUUAGGGAUAUGUUCACUGUUAAGUUGAUGCACAUCAUGUAUAUUCACGGAUCAUUUCAAAUCAAAUGACCGUGUGAUGAUAACUAAGACAAAGGAGUGCACUGGGACUCAGAGCUCUGCCACGAGGAUAGUGGCAUAUUCUAGUGGGGGGGGGGACAGAGACAGAGCAGGCAGCUUUCAGUAGUUUAAAAACAGGAGAAAUGUUCUCAAGUCGAUGUCCUGUAAAAACAGUUAUGGAUCCACAGACAUGGGGGGGGAGGGUGUUGGCUGGAGGACAUGAAGUGUGUGUGUGUGUGUCUGUGUCUGUCUGUGUCUGUGUCUGUCUUUGUGUCUUUGUCUUUGUCUUUAGUUUGCAUCGCAUCAGUGGGCAGUGAGGUGGAUAAUCCUCCAGACUGCUGAAAAUGACUCUAUUGAUCUGUGCUUCUCAGUCACAAGCCUUUAAGUACUGCAGUAUUAUACAGCUCAGCUGUCUGUCUGGGAACUGUAUUUGUACAUUGCGUCUGUCUGCGUGUGUGUGUGUGUGCGCGCGCGCGUCUGAUAGAAAAAUAAGGAAACCUGUUAAAUGAAGGUAUUUCACUGGUUCUCGUCUAAUGAGAGGACUGUCAGUUUAGUUUUAGGACUUGAGUUAAUGGUUAAAUGUAGCUUUCACUUAGUGCCACGUGUAGAAUGUCCACCGGCUUGCUGAUCAGCUCUUAAGUGAUGAGGGCGGAAAA